GCAGAGCAUCCUACGGGAGGCAGCAGUGGGGAAUAUUGCACAAUGGGCGCAAGCCUGAUGCAGCCAUGCCGCGUGUAUGAAGAAGGCCUUCGGGUUGUAAAGUACUUUCAGCAGUGAGGAAGGUGGAUAUGUUAAUAGCAUAUUCAUUUGACGUUAGCUGCAGAAGAAGCACCGGCUAACUCCGUGCCAGCAGCCGCGGUAAUACGGAGGGUGCGAGCGUUAAUCGGAAUUACUGGGCGUAAAGCGCAUGCAGGUGGUUUGUUAAGUCAGAUGUGAAAGCCCGGGGCUCAACCUCGGAAUUGCAUUUGAAACUGGCAAACUAGAGUACUGUAGAGGGGGUAGAAUUUCAGGUGUAGCGGUGAAAUGCGUAGAGAUCUGAAGGAAUACCGGUGGCGAAGGCGGCCCCCUGGACAGAUACUGACACUCAGAUGCGAAAGCGUGGGGAGCAAACAGGAUUAGAUAACCUGGUAG
rnacentral:rRNA from 1 species